GCUGAAGUGGCAGAGUAUGGCAAUUGCAUAAAACUUAAACUUUUA
rnacentral:tRNA from 1 species